GCCUGGGUGGCUCAGUCAGUUGAGCGUCUGACUUUGGCUCAGGUCAUGAUCUCGUGGUAUGUGAGUUCGAGCCCCACAUCGGGUU
rfam:Felis catus isolate Cinnamon breed Abyssinian chromosome B1, whole genome shotgun sequence.